AAUGGUUGUAGCCUAAAUAACCCAAAUAACCACCAUCUUCUUCACACUAAAUCUUCCUCCUUUGUAAACGUCUAUGCCCUGCUAUCGGAAUUUUUUUCUUUUCCGAUGAUGUUAUGCUCAUUCUUCGCUCUCCUCUCUUUAUUUUUACUGCUCUAUUAUAAUUGGUGAGGCCGACCUCUAUACUUAUAAAAAUUUUGGUGGGGCCUGUUCUGUUAACGGAAGUAGCUUUAUGAACCACCGAAAUCGUGUAUUGUUUCUGUGUAUGUUGUAUACAUUUUAAUGUUAUUUAUUUUAAUCAUCUUAUUGCGUUAAAAUUCAGCACAUUAUUUUUCAUAAGGGCCAUGUAGAUGAGUUUAUUGCUCAGAAACGUUAAAAUUCGGCACAUUAUUUUUCUUAAGGCCAUGUAGAUGAAUUUAAAAAAGAACUCCAUGUGACAUAUGGACAAAAUAAAUACUCCAUGUGCUAUGAAAAAAAACAAAGACUAUGUGUGAUAUAGCAACAACCUAACAAAACUUCACAGUGGGUUAUUUAUUCAACAUUUGAAGACGAUCACAGUGCCGUUAAUGGAAGUUUACAUUAUUUUUCAUAAGGGCCAUGGAGAUGAAUUUAAAAUAGGACUCCAUGUGACAUAGCAACAAUCUGGCAAAACUUCACAGUGGGUUAUUCAACAUUUGAAGGCGAUCACGGUGCCUUUAAUGGAAGUUUCUAUUUGAAUCCUCAAAAGUAAUUGAGUUCCGUUAAAACCGUACCAUUAGAUGACAUGACAUGACAGAGUUGUUGAUGUGCAAUAGAGUUGACACCAAGAUCACAAUGCCUUCAAUGGAAGAUCACGAUGAAUGUUUCUUUUUACUUGGCAUUGAAGGACAUGCAGUUCGAGAAAGUCCCUUUGACACUCAAAAUCUUUCACAUGCAAGGAUCCAUACAAGACCUUACUCAAAACAGACAUUCCUGGAUGAUCAUGAAGGGUAUAACUGAGGAAGUGGGGAAGCAAAAUAUACACAUAACACAUCUGUAUUCAAAUCGUCUUCUUUUAUAACAUUGAUUAGUUUUUGAUAAGUGGAAAAUACAAACGGACGUAA